rnacentral:misc_RNA from 1 species
UGGCUCUCGCAUCGAUGAAGAACGCAGCGAAAUGCGAUACGUAAUGUGAAUUGCAGAAUUUAGUGAAUCAUCGAAUCUUUGAACGCAUAUUGCACUCUUUGGUAUUCCGAGGAGUAUGCCUGUUUCAGUAUCAGAAAUAUACAAUCGAAGAAGUUUCUUCGGAUCUGGGUCUUGUAUAGUUCAUGUUCUCUCUCCAGAGAGACGUUGAUGAACGUACUGGCCUGAAAUAUAUGGUCUUGUCCCUUGUUUUACACCUCGGCUUUUUCCAAAAAAAGGCGUCAUAGUUGACCGUGGUCAUCUUUCGCUGUUGGUGAAGUCGGUACGGUCUUGGGCAUGAUUACCGAGGUUGGGCAGUUUCGCGCAAAUUACCAAACCCAUUUUUUUUUUUAAAUUUGAUCUGAAAUCAGGUAGGAUUACCCGCUGA